UAACAACAUACCAUCCAGCGAUGAGGAAAAAUAUUGGAGGUUAGGACGAGUUAGUCAAAAACAUCGGCCUUUCGGGUAAGCGUCGUCGGUUGAAUUUCCUCGAUUUUUUUAAAGUUUUUUUCUAUUAUAGUAACAUUUUAGGUUUAAAAUAUUCUAUUAGAAUGUCGAGCGCGUUACAGAGCACUAUAUCGUACAUAAUUCAGCUCGGAUUUAUUCUCAGAUUCGUAAUAAACGGGGUCCUGUAGUACGGAGUCGUAAAGGUUUUUUUGUGAUCCUUCAGAGAGAAUUGCAACGGAGAAAUGUCAUUGAUGCGGAUUCUUAGCUCUUAUCUUGAACGUCAUAUCUUUAGUGUUAUUAGUGCGCGUUCACCGUUAAAAUGUGUUCGAUUCUUGUGCUCUAAGUUCUCAGUUUUAGUGCGAGAAAAUGCUGUUUUUCCACUCCGAUCCCUCACCAUGUUUUCAAGCCCAGCAUUUUGCUAAUGUAUGCUGCAUAAUCGGCAGAUUGUUAAUCAUUUUAUGAAUCAUCACACAUUGAAAACCUGUCUUUUUCCGUAUGAAAAUGCUCACCAUGUUUUCAAGCCCAGCAUUUCGCUAAUGUAAGCUGCAUAGUUGGCGAACUGUAGAAGAUCCAGCAAUCAUGAUAUGUGAAUUCAAAUCUUCAAUGUAAUGUGUUAAACUUGUCUACGUCUAGUGAUGCUCAAUGUUGUUUAUCUAUGAUUAGUUUCUGUCACAUCACCUAGCAAGAGUGUGUCACCAUUGCCCUCGAUUUUGUUGUAAAAUGAAAAUGAAAUUUUAUCAAUUAAAGCCUUCUAAAAUCUUGCUCAUA